UUUUUUAAUAUACACCAAAGCAUGUUUAAAGAAUGUCAUCAAUAGGAACUUGUUUCCUAUAAAAUUAUACAACUUUCAGCAACGGAUCUCUUGGCUCUCGCAUCGAUGAAGAACGCAGCGAAAUGCGAUAAGUAAUGUGAAUUGCAGAAUUCAGUGAAUCAUCGAAUCUUUGAACGCACCUUGCGCUCCUUGGUAUUCCGAGGAGCAUGCCUGUUUGAGUGUCAUUAAAUUCUCAACCUUCUAGCUUUUAUUAGCUUGGUUAGGCUUGGAUGUGGGGGUUGUGGGCUUCAUUAUUGAGGUCAGCUCUCCUUAAAUGCAUUAGCAGAACUUUUGUGGACUGUCUAUUGGUGUGAUAAUUAUCUACGCCGUGGAUGUGAAGCAGAUUUAUGAAGUUCAGCUUCCAACCGUCCAUUGACAUGGACAAUUUUGACAAUUUGACCUCAAAUCAGGUAGGACUACCCGCUGAACUUAAGCAUAUCAAUAAGCGGAGGAAAAGAAACUAACAAGG
rnacentral:rRNA from 1 species